rnacentral:lncRNA from 1 species
UAUUGGUUCAACAGACAUUCAUUAAGUGCCCACUUAAUAGCAGGCAUGAUCCUCAGUUUAGGUCUGGAAAGACGAAUAAGAGUAUCUGUGGGAGACCAACCUUGAACGUGACUGAGUCACACUCCUCCGCUGGGUGCUGAAGCGCUCAGUCAAGAAAUGUGGCAGAGCUUUCCCAACCCUUCUUGGGUUGGAGGGACAGUGUCAUCGCCUGGGCAUGUCUUGCUACAGCCCCAUGGGUGGAGCUACGCUCACCUGUUCCUUUGUAAUAUUACCCCUUUCCCUGUUUAGAAUAGAAUGUUCCAUGGAAGUGCCUUAUGUGUGUCCCCUUCUCUUACUGUGCCCUUGGGUGUGUCAACCUGCUGACAGUGGACAUCAUGAAGAUAGACUCAGACCCCUGAAACCUGGCCCCUUGCCUCAUUGAAUAGCUUCUCCUCAAUAAAAUGGGUCAGCGCGUGCUCUCGCGUGCUCUCUCUCUCUCUUCCUGUGAACCCUUAAGGUCAGAGGAGCCAUCACAGUGACCUCAAAGAAAAAGGUAUUAGUGUCUCUUGUGUGGUUAUUUUGCACAGCCCAGUCAGCCCAGUUUUCCUGGAGUGACUCCUGAGCCUUUUAAUCGCGAACAGAAACCCGGCAAGUAUCCUCAAGGAAUUCACUAUUAGCAGAGGACCCCAGCCCUAGGGCUGACAAUGUCACAUGAUGUGACCAGUGCUGUGGGAACAGGGAGAGCCAAUCACCCACCCUAGCCACGUUGCAGAAGGUCUAUUGGAGGUCUGAGCUGAGUCCUAAGAAAUGAGCUGUGUGUUAUUCUACUAUUGUUGCUGGACAAAUUACAUACAUUUAGUGGAUUAAAUGACAGAUAUCUGUACUCCUAUAGUUCUGAAGGCCAGAAAUCCAAAGUACGUCUUAUGGGACUAAACUCAAGGUGUUUGCUGGGCUGGUUUCUUCUUGAUGGUCCAGGAAAUAAUCCAUCCCUUGUAUCCAGUUUGUGAUGGGUCCAGAUAUUCUUUGGUUUGUAGUCCCAUCACCCUAAUCUCUGCCCCCAUGGUCACAUUGCCACCUCUUCUAUGUGCCCUUUCCCCUUUCUUUUUUAUAAGCACACACCUGCAGUCCCAGAUAUUUG